AGAGGUCACCAGCAUAGGUCAGAGGGGAUAUUGUAUGUAACUGGUGACAUUUGAAAGAGACAUAUUGGACAGAAAUGACAUACGUGAAAGCUAAGAUACAAUAUAUUUAAUUUUCUAAGAAUUCAGUUCAAGGUAGUCUGCCUGGUUUCUCAAGUUCUGCAUGUUUCUUCAGUAGACUAAAUAAUGAUAAGGAAGCUGAGAUGUAGAGCUGAAGUGUCUUGCCCAAGAUCAUUUGUCUACUGCAGCUCCUGUUCCACUUCCUUUCUUGUACUGCUGAACAUCCAGAUAGAGGCAUUGACAUGCAUGGUUUCCAACUGAUCACUUCCUACUCCCUUAAGGACCUCCUGUCAGGCAGCAUUGAUGAGAAGACAAAAAAGCUCUCUGGCUGGAGCCACUCUCUAUGUGGAAUUUGCAUGUUCUCCCCAUGCCUGCACUGAUAUUCUCCCACAUCCCAAAGCUGUGCACAGAUUUUGACUGGUUCCCAGAAGAAGAUUCAGCCACCCAUGACCCUGAACUGGAAUAAGCAGUUUUGCUAAUUUCUUUAAUAUCAGAAGACAGCUGGAUUCUCAUUUCUGCUUCUGCAUUCAGUCUAUUGUGAUAUAGCAUAUCAUGUAACUUCUGAAAAACUUCACUGUACACAGAUGCUGACCUCACAGACUCCCUGAAAGGAUCUCCAUGACCUCUAUGGUUCCUUAGACUGCACUUUGAGAACUAUUGACGUACAGGGAAAAAUGCUCUUGGUGUUCCAGUUAAGCACAGAAUAAAAUCUGGACUGUGUCAGUUUGUAAAGAUCUUAUGUCUACUUGGUCAUCAGCCAAGAAGGGAUUCCGAAGAUAGAAGAGGAGGCAUCAACACCGUGAACAUCAUGGCUGAGUUAUUUUGUGAGAGGGAUAAGCCUAAAGUAAAAACCUUGGAUUUGCCUCUGUCC
rnacentral:lncRNA from 1 species